GCGCCAUUUUGACAAAUCCCCUCCCCCGAAAUCCCCAACUUCCCCCCCUAAAAUCCCUAAUUUCCCACAUCCAAGUAAAAAACCCAAAAGCUUAUUCACUCUGUGUUUCUUCCCAACUGAAGCCAAGCCAGUUCUUGUUUGUUCUUCGUCUUAAAACUCUCAAAUGGAUAAAAAGGCUCCAAAAUCAAAGAACCCAGAACCAGGAUGGGAUCCUCUUCCCUUCUCUUUUCUAAAAAAAAAUGUCUGAUUGGUCCGCAAUCAGUUACUGAUGCUUUGUUGAAUGAAUAAGAAGCUUUUUUCAAGAUUAUUUGUUCCUUCCGGCUCACUCCUCACCAAAACCAGAAGGCACACUACCGGGAAAGUAAGAUAGCUUCUCCUCUGAUUAUAAAUCAAAUAAACCUCCCAAAAAUUCGUGUUGUACUGUAUUAAGGGAGGCAGUGAAAGCCCUAUAUUUAUAUAUAUAUAUAACGAUAUAAAGAUAAAAAGAUAGGUGGUCCUAGAAGGGUCCUUCGCUACACUCGCGCUCCAGACAGAAAGGUCAACUCAACUAGUCGCAAGAAGAAAGGCUGGGUAGGAUCGUAAACUCAUCUGCGAACACCUAACUGCUGAGGUUGGUUCCGAGCCUUAGAUAGGAAUUCUUGGGCUUCUCUCGACCUGUGAAGAAAAGCUUUUUCAGAUGUUAAAAAAAGCAUUGUAGGAUAAUCGGCAUCUGUCCCUCGAGAAAGAGUAAGAUAGGCAAAAAGGCAUAGAGACAACAGCGGUAAUGCCGCAUCUCUCGAUGAGAAGGAAUCCUGGAAAGAAGAGCAAAGAAAAGCCCUUCUUAAACCAAGGAAACGAUGAGAAAAAGAGCAAAAAGGGAUUGGAAAUUAAAGGGUACUGAGUGGAAGAUGAGGUGGUUUUGAUGCCUACCCAUUUAGCAAUUGUGAUGGAGUAUGCUGCUGGUGGUGAGCUCUUUGAUCGAAUUUACAGUGCUGGUAGAUUCAGUGAAGAUGAGGCUAGAUAUUUUUUUCAGCAGUUGAUCUCUGGUGUUAAUUACUGUCACUCCAUGCAAAUAUGCCAUAGAGAUUUGAAAUAAGAAAAUACCCUUUUAGAUGGAAGUUCUGCACCUCGUUUGAAAAUCUGCGAUUUCAGUUACUCUAAGGUUUGGGAAUAAUUAUAUAUAGUCCAUCUUAAAUGUCAGUUACCAGCUUGAGACAUGAAUGGUGCAGGUUUGUAAGUAGCAUAUAUAGAUAUAAGCUGGUCUGAUUUGAUGACUGGUUAAGUGGGGAAGGAUGUACAUACAUGUUAAGUGGGGAAGGAUGUAUAUAGCAUUUGCAGAUUUUUGAAGGUUAGAAGAAUAUGAUAUUUAUUUUGCCAUUAGUUGGAUGAGGGAUAAACCAUAAAAUAGGUUAGUAAGUUAGAAUACACUAUUUCUUUUGCUAGAACAAUGCAAGGAUGUUUCUAGCACUUGCAAAUUUUAGUAGUAAAUAUGAACCCACAAAAUAUAUCUAAGUUGUUAGGACUCUUCAUUUUUCAUGAAGUACCCAUGACCGACAUUUAUGUCCGAAACACGGAUAUGAAGAUAUGACCUCCGAGGAUCCUUCAAAUACAUAAAAAAACAUAGAAAAACUAACCACACCUAUGUCAGAUACAUACUCGUAUCUGACACUCAUACCUGAGUCCAAGUAACAUAGGUAUAUAUUUUUUCUUAUCUAGCAAGUUUAAUGAUUCUGUCACCUUUGUAAGUGCUAUUGCAUAAUUGAUUUCCUUUGAAACAUUGCUUCGGACAAGAUGUUAAUAAAGUUUCUCUAACAUGAGGCUGGGGGUACUUGAUUUCAGAUAGCAAUGUGGCUGAUAUUGUGGUGGAAAUAUAUCCCAGUUUUAGUCAUUCUAUCUAAAAUGUUCUUUGCAGGUUUGUCACUGUUUGCGGCACUUGGCUUUUUACUGUAUGGUGGAAGGUAAUUGCAUUGACAUUUAUUGUAUUGUUUCUAAUUGUUUUAAUGGCAUUGGAGCUAGCUUAGUGUGAUAAUUUGUUUUAUGUUUAGGGAGCACACAUUUUAAAACCUGUAUAUCAUUUUUCUUUUUAUAUGUUGACAUAAGCUUUGAUAUCUGGUUUGUGAAUUAAAGGAGUGGAUUUUUCCCUGUUAUAACAAAACCAGGAAGGAUAACGGUGCGUUAAGCAUUUAAAUAUAAUAAACAAUAUAUCAUGUUGAUAUAAAAAAAGCAAUAUAUCACUAUAUUGUACUGCAAAACACUCACAUCUGCAUACAAUGAAUGUAAAAUAUACUAAUGAUGCAGCUCAAUUAAAACUUUUUAAUAUGGAUAUACUUUGAUCACAUGUGUGCACCUAGUUACUGACACUUAGGCUUUGCUAAACAUUUGUACUCAUUGUUGAUAAUCCUGUAUGUAUCAACAUUAGAACAAAUAUUUAAUCAGUGUGGAAAGGUUUGCCUUUGCUAAAUGAUGAUGAAUCUCUUGUUUAUAUAGUGUGCUCUUUUAUCAUUUAUGUUAAUGUGGCUUCGUGUGCUUUCCUCAGUAUAUCCCCUUGGUUAAAUGGUUAAAUUUUUUUUCCCUCUGUAAGGUUAAAUGGUGGCAUGCUUAUUUUUGUUUAAAUAUUAAAUGUGACGUUCUCUUACUGCACAGAAACUUAGUUUGGAACAAUCUAAUUCUAGCCAGUAAGGAAUGGAAGCCUCCAUUAAGAGUUUGCUUGCAGAAAAGGAAGAAUUGGCAAUGGUUUCAAUUGAGAGAAGGCUUCAAUUGAAGCUAUUGAAGAGAAAAGAAAGUUAUACAAUUCUCAGAUAACAUCGUUAUCAGCUAACAAGCACAUUAAGCUGUACAAGGAUAUGCAAUUUUCAGUUAUAACAUUGGACUAAUAUUUUCUGUUUUUCUUCAUCUUGAGUUGAUGUGUACAUGAUUUAUUGAAAAAAACUUUUCGUUUCAGGUAAAUAAUUUAAGAGGUGCCGAACAUAGGUAAGCUGCUUCUUAAGUUUAAGCCUCUUCAUUUAACCUUCAGCUAGGAUGUUUCUUAACAUAUAGAAAUUGUAUUAUUAAUUUUGAUGAUGUCAAAGAAUCAUUGAACCUAAAAGUUUAAGUUAUUAUAUUAGUGCCUUUAUUUUGUUGUUUUUGGUUCUAAUGUCCACUUUUGCCCUUAGCUGUCUUUAUAGUUUUAUGAUCUAUUAAUUCCUCUAUUUUUUAUAUGAUAAGAGUUGUCACAUGAUUUGCUAUCUUGCUUCUAUGGGAUUUCAAGAAAAAUAUGUUGUUGAAUGUACUUGCUUUUUUAGGUUUGUACUUUAUUAUUAUGGUUAUGCUUUUUAUUCUGACUCUUUAUGAUUUAAGUAUCAGUGUUCGGAACCCAUGGAUGUGGGAAAACUUGGAAAAAAAUUGAACAUACUCAUCUCAGACAUGCCUUCAUACCCAUAUCUGACAUGUCUUUAUAUUGACACCUAACACUCAUACCUAAGUCCGAGUAACAUGGUUCUUUUCUUUUUCAAGUUCUAAAUUGUUUAACAAUAGGUUCUUUGUUUUCUUAAGCAGGGAUGAUGAAGAUGAUUCUGUUGCCAAGAUGAAGGCAACUGAGGAAGCCUUGGAAGCAAAACAAAAAGUAACAAAUAGCUUGUCUGCUACUUGUUCUUUUUUUUUUUAAUUAUGUUUUAUAAUUUUGUGACAAAUUGUUCUUGGUACUCUGAAGAUAUUUAUACAAAAUUACCCUAUGAUUCUAUUGUAUUUAUACUGCAUGGCUGCACCAUGUAUUUCUUAACUAGUUUGAUAAAUUUUAUGUGUGUUGUUUAAUUUUUCGUUAUUGUCUUUGUAA